CCUGCCCACUGCCUGUGAUCGUAGCCCCUCCCCGUCGCGCGUGACCGGAGUUAGUGCUGGCUCUUACUCGUUGCGUUUGCCGGACGGGUCAGGAACCCCUCACCGUCUACUUUUUCGCAGGCGCUGCCUCCGGGGGACUCGCGCUUAUACCCGAUACGACCUACGCGUGGAAGCCAAUGAUGUUCAGGCUUGGCUCCAGUGACUUGGUCGAUGUCGGAUUAGCUAGUUGGCGGGGUAACGGCCCACCAAGGCGCCGAUCCGUAGCUGGUCUGAGAGGAUGAUCAGCCACACUGGAACUGAGACACGGUCCAGACUCCUACGGGAGGCAGCAGUGGGGAAUAUUGGACAAUGGGCGCAAGCCUGAUCCAGCCAUACCGCGUGGGUGAAGAAGGCCUUCGGGUUGUAAAGCCCUUUUGUUGGGAAAGAAAAGCAGCAGGUUAAUACCCCGCUGUUCUGACGGUACCCAAAGUGUAAGCACCGGCUAACUUCGUG
rnacentral:rRNA from 1 species